rnacentral:rRNA from 1 species
UAGUUAUUUUCUUUAAACCUAAAGAAUUUGGCGGUAUUUUAGUCUAUUCAGAGGAACUUGUCCCGUGAUCGAUAGUCCUCGUUUUAUCUUUCUUGAUUUUGUUAUCAGUUUGUAUACCGCCGUUAUAAGUUUAUUUUUUUAGAAUAUUUACUUUAAAUAUUAUUUUAUUAUAUUUCAGGUCAAGGUGCAGUUUAUAGUUAAGUGGAGAUGAGUUACAUUAUUUUUUUUGAAUAUAUGAAUUAUUUUUUGAAAUAUUUAUUUGAAAGUGGAUUUGAUAGUAAUUUUAAUUAUUUAAUUUUUUUGAUUUUAGCUCUAAAAUAAGUACACAUCGCCCGUCGCUCUA